AUGGGAGUCGGGAAUGCCCGAAGCCGGUGGCCCGAUCGAGAGAAGGGAGCCGUCGAAGGCAGGCCGGAUGACUGGGGUGAAGUCGUAACAAGGUACC
rnacentral:rRNA from 1 species